rnacentral:lncRNA from 1 species
UGUCACCCACCAUCCCCACCCUCGCACUGAGGCAGUACAUGGAAAAAAAAGACCGAAGAAUGCACAGCACUCACUGAAUUUGUGAGUUGGUGACCUGAAAUAUAGAUUGUUUGUACCAUGGACACUGACAGCAGAGAGAGAGAGAACUCCAUGGGCUGGGUGGACUGGCAGGCUUCCUGGAGGAGGAAUAAUUCAAUUGGGUCAAAUUAUUUGGGGUAUAUGCUUGGGGGUGAAAUUGCUUGGUUGUAUGGUAAUUCUAUUUUUAACCUAUUGCCUCUCAGAGCUGGGGAGACCCAGCCUCCCACAGUGUGGAAAGGGGUGGAUCUAUAUUUUAAGUGCAGAAUUCUUACAUCCAUUUCACAUGUGCAGAAACCAAGGUUUGCUAUAAUUUUGUUUGCCUGAAACUCUCUAUUUAAGUGGAUACAUCAAGUGGGCUGCCAGGUUUGACCCCGUGUUUGGAUGUGACACUACACUUUCCUGAUGUUAAUUCACUGAGUCACUGGAGCCCUGUACUGGGUGCUGGAAGAACGAGGAGGAACCAGAGCCAGGCCCUACUCAAGGAGCUCACAGUCCCACAGAGGAAUGAACAGGCAGGCAGAUGCUGAUGCCACAGUGUGCCUGGGCUGAGGCUGGGGAGCCUGGAGGACUGGGGGAGGGAGGGGAGCUCCUUUCCUAGCUCAAAGGACAGGAUAAGGAUUUCCAAGAGGUGAUCCAGUGGGCAGAGGAGAAUGAGCUGGGCCAGGGGGAGGGCGAGCCUGGAGAAGGACUGGCCUGAACAAGGCCUGAAGCCGGCAAGAGAAGCAGCCCCAGCCUGACAGGGCCUUCGAGAGCAGGUUAGGGAUUUGCUGUGUCAUCCUAAGGGAAUCAGGGGAACAAGUAAGAGGCCUUAAGCCAUGAAGAAACAUGGUUAGAUCAGUAUUUUAGAAAGACAACUCUGGCUGCUGUAUGACUUCAGCCUGGAGGAAGGUAAAUCUGGAUGCCAAGGGAGAAAUGGGGGGCAUGAAAAGAGGCUGCAGGAGGCAACAGGACACGCCAGCAAGGA